GGCCAGCAGCCGCGGUAAUACGUAGGGUGCGAGCAUUGUCCGGAAUUAUUGGGCGUAAAGAGCUCGUAGGCGGCUUGUCGCGUCGGAUGUGAAAGCCCGGGGCUUAACUCCGGGUCUGCAUUCGAUACGGGCAGGCUAGAGUUCGGUAGGGGAGACUGGAAUUCCUGGUGUAGCGGUGAAAUGCGCAGAUAUCAGGAGGAACACCGGUGGCGAAGGCGGGUCUCUGGGCCGAUACUGACGCUGAGGAGCGAAAGCGUGGGGAGCGAACAGGAUUAGAUACCCUGGUAGUCCACGCCGUAAACGUUGGGAACUAGGUGUGGGUGACAUUCCACGUUGUCCGUGCCGCAGCUAACGCAUUAAGUUCCCCGCCUGGGGAGUACGGCCGCAAGGCUAAAACUCAAAGGAAUUGACGGGGGCCCGCACAAGG
rnacentral:rRNA from 1 species